rnacentral:rRNA from 1 species
GUGUCAGCAGCCGCGGUAAUACGGAGGGUGCAAGCGUUGUUCGGAAUUAUUGGGCGUAAAGCGCGUGCAGGUGGUCGAGCAAGUCAGAUGUGAAAGCCUUCUGCUUAACAGAAGAAGUGCAUUUGAAACUGCUCGGCUAGAGUACGGGAGAGGAGAGUGGAAUUCCCGGUGUAGAGGUGAAAUUCGUAGAUAUCGGGAGGAACACCAGUGGCGAAGGCGGCUCUCUGGUCCGAUACUGACACUGAGACGCGAAAGCGUGGGGAGCAAACAGGAUUAGAAACCCCCGUAGUCC